UCAGUCAUAUGAUUUACUGUGCUGUCUGCUUCCCUGGAGCAAAUCAGUAUUUUCACCACAGGUGAGAAAUCUGGCACUGAGUUGACCACCCAGAGAUUGCAAGGAGUCUGCAUUGGCAAAGAGACCACCCAAACACUGGCAUUCCACUGUGCUCAAAUCAGCAGUGAGAAAUACUGUGGCAUGCACUCAGAAAUACAUGCUGGGAAUAUGAAUCUCUCUGGAGAAAGAGAAGGAAGAGGUCUUCUACUUUGUAGAAGAAAUCAGGCACGUGCACAAAUGUUUGUGGUUUCACUGGAUUUCCUCCUUCCUUUUCUUUACUGAAUCCACAACAAAAUCUUGGAUGGAGCUGGAGAAUGAGGGCAUCUUUUCCUUGGAGUAAUGUACAUUUGCAGCUUUGUGAAACACUGUUCCAACUAUUUCAACACAAUAUUUUCUAAUAAAAACAUCCAAUGAACUGUCUGAAGCCU
rnacentral:lncRNA from 12 species